GCUUUACUACAACUCCUCAAGGUAGGUUCUGUUACUGUCUCUGUUAUUUAAGAUGAGGAAACUGUGGAGCAGAGAGAUUAGCUGGAAAUGUCUGAUACUGUUGUUCAGAUGAAAAAAUUGAGGCUCAAUGUGAUGAAGUGAUCUCAGCAUCAUAAUGAAAAUCCUGAAGAUCAAUAUAUGAUGGGAUUAGGCACCACACAACCCAUAAGGAUGCGGCACUUACACCUGUGUGUCCCUCCUUUUUGUGCUGGUCCUGACUGAAACUGACCUUCGCAAGUACAACAUCGGAAGAGCAGACAGGUGAAGGAGUGGACACAACCCAAGUCUUGCAGGUGCUACUAGUGGAAACAUUCACCAUGAACAAGAUCUACCUGAUGGGAAUUUAAGACUGGUUCAUGUCAGUUGAAUAUGCCCUAAAUGAUGCAGUGCUGACCACAGUUUGGUGAAUUGAACAGCUGAGUUGGAGGAGAAAGUGGCAUAAAAGGAGGCCUGGAAGAGAGACUCAAUCCUGCUGACUGGAGGCUGCUCGUGGUUGACUGUUCAGAAAGUUGUGCACCUGCUGAAAUGGGGCAGACGGGGCAGGGGAUAGAGCAUGGGAUUGGCCCCUCCAUGUGCAACCAUCAAUACUGUUGAGGAGUAGAGGAGGGGAGAGUGUAAAAACUGGCAAGAACCUUGGAGACUGUCCCAUUUUAUGUCUGGAGAACUAGAGAUCCAGGAAAAAAAAGCAUGGCUUGUCUAAGACUG